GGGGUGCACCAGGCGCGAAAACUUUACAAUGCGGGAAACCGUGAUAAGGGGACACCAAGUGCCAGCAUCAUAUGCUGGCUGUCCGGGUGUGUAAAAUACACCCGUUAGCAAGGGCCGGGCAAGACCGGUGCCAGCCGCCGCGGUAACACCGGCGGCCCGAGUGGUGAUCGUGAUUAUUGGGUCUAAAGGGUCCGUAGCCGGUUUGGUCAGUCCUCCGGGAAAUCUGACGGCUCAACCGUUAGGCUUUCGGGGGAUACUGCCAGGCUUGGAACCGGGAGAGGUAAGAGGUACUACAGGGGUAGGAGUGAAAUCUUGUAAUCCCUGUGAGACCACCUGUGGCGAAGGCGUCUUACCAGAACGGGUUCGACGGUGAGGGACGAAAGCUGGGGGCACGAACCGGAUUAGAUACCCGGGUAGUCCCAGCCGUAAACGAUGCUCGCUAGGUGUCAGGCAUGGCGCGACCGUGUCUGGUGCCGCAGGGAAGCCGUGAAGCGAGCCACCUGGGAAGUACGGCCGCAAGGCUGAAACUUAAAGGAAUUGGCGGGGGAGCAC
rnacentral:rRNA from 1 species